UCAGCCAUGUCAUUUGGCCUCUCUAGAGGCCUGUUUUCUUAUAUGAACAAUGGGAUAAUAGAGGAAGGAAGUGAGGCCCAGAGAUGAUUAGUGCCUGCCCAACUUCAUCCAGGAAAGCUUCAUGCAGGGCCAACUAAGCCUUGGAAAAUGGGCAGAAUGUGGAGAGGUAGGAAGAAGAAGAAGAAGAACACUCAUAGCACUCUUAGAAUUCCAAUACAAGUUGAAAAGAGGGAAACAUGAACAAAAGCAGAGAGGCCAGAAUGUACCUGCUAUAUACAUCUUGAAAAUGACAAAUUGAUCAGCCUGGCUGAAGCCAAGGAUUUUUUAGAUAUAUACCAUAAAGGCCUGAGUGCAGCCCAAAUGGAUACAGAAAGAUGACCUUGCUUCCUUUGCUCACCUUUUACUUCUGACUCAAAUCUAUUUGAAAUGCAAACCAGAGAGGAUCGUGGGGAUUUCUGACCAUCAGUCAGACAGUUAACUGGGAUAAAGAACACAAUUUCAGAUGCACCAUUUAGAAUAAAAGACUUAAUUUUCUCCUAAAGCACUCUAUGGAUUUUCAACUGGCUAAGAACAAAAAAGGACCAUCUUGCUUUUAUCAGAGAGAGACUUCUGAAAGUCACAAAACCCUCCCUAGAAGAUCAGAGCUAAGAUACUGGGUAUGUGGCCCUGAACAAAUGAAACGUGGAGGCUGGCAUCAGGGAGAAAUGCCCAGAAGAGACCACAAAACCAAGUGAUAACAUAGCCAGCAGAGAGCCAAGAAGCCCAGGAGAGAUCAAGACUUGGAGACCUGUAGAGACACAUGCUCGGUGAAGAAGACACAAAAAAGUGAUACCAGAUGGAGAAUAAAAGAUCUUCAAUCUGACACAUAGGGGCAGACUCGGUAAAGAGCAGGCUUAGAGAUAUCACAGCAAGGACAUCACCAGAAGAUCUCAGCAGUCCUACAGCAUCACUGUCCCUACACACAUGCUUCCUCUAUGCAUGCAUCUAAUGCUUGUUCCUUAUGCAGGCCCCCUCUUCCCACUGACAGUGUAUUUGUGUAAGCAUGUUUAUG